UAUUGGACAAUGGGUGCGAGCCUGAUCCAGCCAUCCCGCGUGAAGGGCGACUGCCCUAUGGGUUGUAAACUUCUUUUGUACAGGGAUAAACCUAUUUACGUGUAAAUAGCUGAAGGUACUGUACGAAUAAGCACCGGCUAACUCCGUGCCAGCAGCCGCGGUAAUACGGAGGGUGCAAGCGUUAUCCGGAUUUAUUGGGUUUAAAGGGUCCGUAGGCGGAUCUGUAAGUCAGUGGUGAAAUCUCACAGCUUAACUGUGAAACUGCCAUUGAUACUGCAGGUCUUGAGUAAAGUAGAAGUGGCUGGAAUAAGUAGUGUAGCGGUGAAAUGCAUAGAUAUUACUUAGAACACCAAUUGCGAAGGCAGGUCACUGUGUUUUAACUGACGCUGAUGGACGAAAGCGUGGGGAGCGAACAGG
rnacentral:rRNA from 1 species